rnacentral:rRNA from 1 species
GCAAGUCGAGCGGUAGCACAGGAGAGCUUGCUCUCUGGGUGACGAGCGGCGGACGGGUGAGUAAUGUCUGGGAAACUGCCUGAUGGAGGGGGAUAACUACUGGAAACGGUAGCUAAUACCGCAUGACCUCGCAAGAGCAAAGUGGGGGACCUUCGGGCCUCACGCCAUCGGAUGUGCCCAGAUGGGAUUAGCUAGUAGGUGGGGUAAUGGCUCACCUAGGCGACGAUCCCUAGCUGGUCUGAGAGGAUGACCAGCCACACUGGAACUGAGACACGGUCCAGACUCCUACGGGAGGCAGCAGUGGGGAAUAUUGCACAAUGGGCGCAAGCCUGAUGCAGCCAUGCCGCGUGUGUGAAGAAGGCCUUAGGGUUGUAAAGCACUUUCAGCGAGGAGGAAGGGUUCAGUGUUAAUAGCACUGUGCAUUGACGUUACUCGCAGAAGAAGCACCGGCUAACUCCGUGCCAGCAGCCGCGGUAAUACGGAGGGUGCAAGCGUUAAUCGGAAUUACUGGGCGUAAAGCGCACGCAGGCGGUUUGUUAAGUCAGAUGUGAAAUCCCCGAGCUUAACUUGGGAACUGCAUUUG